CACUCUAGGGAGACUGCCAGGGAUAACCUGGAGGCAGGUUGGGAUGACGUCAAAUCAUCAUGCCCCUUAUGCUUACGGCUACACACGUGCUACAAUGGGUAGUACAGAGGGUUGCCAAGCCGUAAGGUGGAGCUAAUCCCUUAAAGCUACUCUUAGUUCGGAUUGUAGGCUGAAACUCGCCUACAUGAAGCUGGAGUUACUAGUAAUCGCAGAUCAGAAUGCUGCGGGGAAUGCGUUCCCGGGUCUUGUACACACCGCCCGUCACACCACGGGAGUUGGAGACGCCCGAAGCCGAUUAUCUAACCUUUUGGAAGAAGUCGUCGAAGGUGGAAUCAAUAACUGGGGUGAAGUCGUAACAAGGUAGCCGUAUCGGAAGGUGCGGCUGUAUCACCUCCUUUCUAAGGUGA
rnacentral:rRNA from 1 species